GAGGUUAGCCGGUGCYUCUUCUUAAGGUAACGUCAAAAASCMGAGGUAUUAACCCYGSACUUUUCUUCCCCACYGAAAGUGCUUUACAACCCGCAGGCCUUCUUCACACACGCGGCGUCGCUGGAUCAGGGUUUCCCCCAUUGUCCAAUAUUCCCCACUGCUGCCUCCCGUAGGAGUCUGGGCCGUGUCUCAGUCCCAGUGUGGCUGGUCGGUCCUCUCAGACCCAUGCUACAGGAUCUGUCGCCUUGGUGGGCCGUUCCCCCUC
rnacentral:rRNA from 1 species